AAUUCCAGCUCCAAUAGCGUAUAUCAAAGUUGUUGCAGUUGAAAAGCUCGUAGUUGGUGUUGUUGUGGGGGGUUAUAGGUUGGUUUUAUACUGGCCGCUUCUCCCUCGCAAUUCUAGACAUAGCUUACGCUGUGUCUUCCAUUACUGUGACAAAAUUAGAGUGUUUCAAGCGGGCGCUUUGCCCUCAUACUAAAGCAUGGAAUAAUACCAUAUGAUCGCUAUGCGAUUCUUUGAAUUGGUUGCGAAUAGCGAUAAUGAGUAAGAGGGCCAGUUGGGGGUAUUUAAAUUUCGUCGUCAGAGGUGAAAUUCUUGGAUCGACGAAAGAUAAUCAACUGCGAAAGCAUCUACCAAGGAUGGUUUCAUUAAUCAAGAACGAAAGUCAGGGGAUCGAAGAGGAUUAGAUACCCUCGUAGUCUUGACCAUAAACGAUACCGACUCGGGAUUGCUAGUAGAUUUGGGUGUUGGUGUUUACUGGCGCCUAAGAGAAACUAGCAGCACCGUACGAGAAAUCAUUAAGUCUUUGGGUUCCGGGGGGAGU
rnacentral:rRNA from 1 species